ACCUCUGUGGCGAUUGGACGCCACCUGGCCUUCGAAGCCAGGCUUUGCGGGUUCGAAUCCUGCCGGGGGUGCCA
rnacentral:tRNA from 1 species